AUGAACACACCUUGACAAACACAUCCAAUCAGCACGUUUCUCAUCAUCUUGGUUGGAUUUCACUUUAUUUUGUAUAUUUAUUAUUUCUCAGGACGAAGGUGGGAGAGCUGCUUCCAAACGUCUCUUCUCCCAAGAUUCACUUGCAGUAUGCAAAGGCCAAGGAGGCGGAUGGCAAAUACAAGGAUGCGGCACGAGCCUACGAGAGCGCGAAGGACUGAGACAAUGUGAUCCGCGUGCUGGACCACCUGAACAAACCAGAAGAAGCUGUUCGCAUCGCCAGAUAGAUGCAGAGCAUCGAUGGAGCAAAGAUGGUUGCCAGGUGUCCUCGGGUAUGGAGGGCCACCCGGGCUGCGUUAUUACGCACCAAGGACCGUAAUAAACGCAUUGCUGACCGCCAUCGGUCCUCCACCCCCGCCUGUGCUGUUGGACAAAAGGUAUGGCUUUCCACACGCUUCGUUCCCGUCAGGGCGGAAUCCAAGAAGCUCACUCCCACCUUUAUCGGCCCGUUCGAGAUCUCUGCUUUGGUUAACCCUGUGUCCGUAAAGCUCAAACUA